rnacentral:lncRNA from 1 species
AGACGUCUCCUGAUAGUUUCAGAGACGUCUCUGGCACAAGCAGGAAGAACUGGCACACUUGGAGACGUCCCCGGCUCCUGUCGAGUCGUCCCCGCGUUAGCGGAGUCGACUCUCUCAGUAGCGGAGCCGACUCUCUCAGUGGCGGCAGAAAGACGCUUUUCAAGGGAUAUGCGCGAGACGUCCCCGCUAUACGCGGAGUCGUCCCCGCAAGCAAAAAGGAGACUUCCCGAGUCGUCCCUAAGAUGGCGGAGACGGCUCUCUCAAGGUUUUCCAGAGAAUGUUUUUUUUUUCGGUGAUAAGGAAGCAGAGUCGACCCUGAGAAAGCGGAGUCGUCCCCACGCAUAAAGUGCAGACAAGCGGAGACGUCCCCUGAAAGAGCGGAGUCGACUCUCUCAGGGAAUUCCAGAGGACAUAAUUUUCGGAGAUAAAGAAGCGGAGUCGUCCCCAAAGUAGCGGAGUCGUCUCCACUCAAAAAGCGCUAACACGCCGAGACGUCCCCGUAAAGUGCCAAGUCGACCCCAGAUAAAGUAAAAAGUAAAAUCCUAUAGGCGAGACGUCUCUCGUUGUAGCGGAGACGUCCCCGGAGUGCCUGGGACGCGACUGACAGCUUUUCAGGUUUGAUUUGAAUUUCAAAUCUUCUCUACUUUAUCUCUAACGGCUAUAUUUGCUUUUUGGGCUAUAAAAGGGAGCUCUUAAGUGCUUCUCAACAACUCUUUACCAACCAAAAA